CCCUUUGAAAUCGCGCACGGAAAUCGCUAUAUGCAUGACUGCCGGGUAACCGGCUAUGACAAUAAACUGGCGAUGCAAUAAGCCAUUCGGACCCGGGGGCGGUACCCGGCGCCUCCACCACAAACUGCCGGCAAGGGCCGCUUGUGAUGGGGGCGAAACAGGAUCGACGAGGGUGUAAAGAUCGUUCUUUUGUCCGGCAUGAUACCACCGUUAUCGGGUCAAACUAGUAGUUGCAAACGACAACUAUGCGGAAGCACGUCUCGCCGCGUAAGCAGCGCGACAGCUUCACUUGAACUCCUAAGGGUUCGCACUCUUAGGCGGGGUCCGGAGGCACCUGGCAACAGAAGCCUCCACU
rnacentral:tmRNA from 1 species